UCAUAGUAAAUGAAAUCAAAUUCAAAUUCGUCUGAAUUAUCAGGCCCAAACACAUGUCCAAAUGUUACUUAUGUUGCCAUUCCUAAUGAUAGUGACCAGUACUUUUCGACUUGCUAUGUUAAACGAUUUCUAAUUUGCGCCUAGUUUUUCAACUUGAUAUGUGAACAUUUUUCUUAUUUGCAUUGAUGUUAUAGAUUCAUAAUGGAUUAUUUAUUUAGAAUUUUGAUUGUAUCAGAAACCCAUAAGUUGAAUUGCAAGCUCAAGAUUGAGCUCAUAGGAGUGGUCAAAAGGGGUAGGCAAGACAGAGUGAAGAAAGGUUUCUUCCUCAUGAAAGCGGAUGAUCAAGUGAGGCAGUUUAAGAGAGUGCAAUAAAGACAAAGUUAUUUAUUUAUGGUGUGAUCAACUGGGAUGCUGAGUUUUACGCUAAGAGUGCGACACCGUUUUUGCAACUUGCGACAUCCCUGCCUCCGGUAUCCUAUGGAGCCCGUAUGGGCUAGAGUGGAGGAUGUUGUGGAAAGUUUGUGUUAUCAUAUAGGUAAUUAAACUAAUUAUUUUAUCAUAAAAGUUUUUGUUAUCAACUACUUAUAUCAUCAUAUAGGUAAUUCAACUACUUAUAUUACCAUAUAGGUGUUACGCAGUGCAGGAAAGUGUCAAAUGUCUUUUAUGAAGGUGGAUGCUUGAAAAUUUCUCAAAAUGAUUAUUGAUUGGCUAGCUAGUGACCUAGUAACUUCAAGAGAGAUGAAGGUAUAGACAAUUUGAAAACAAACAAGCACUCCAACAUCUUAUCGGG